rnacentral:rRNA from 1 species
AGAAUCAACGCUGGCGGCGCGCUUAACACAUGCAAGUCGAACGAGAAAGGGGAGCAAUCCCUGAGUAAAGUGGCGUACUGGUGAGUAACACGUGGAUAUCUACCUCUUGGUGGGGAAUAACCUGGGGAAACCUGGGCUAAUACCGCAUAAGUUCGUGAGAAGAAAGGCGUAAGUCGCCGAGAGAGGAGUCCGCGGUCGAUUAGGUAGUUGGCGGGGUAAGAGCCCACCAAGCCAAAGAUCGAU